GCGGAGGAAAGGAAACCACCAGGGAUUGCCCCAGUAACGGCGAGUGAAGCGGCAACAGCUCAAAUUUGAAAUCUGGCCCUCCCCGGGGGGCCCGAGUUGUAAUUUGCAGAUUGUGCUUUUGGCGAGGGGCCUUCCGAGUUCCCUGGAACGGGACGCCACAGAGGGUGAGAGCCCCGUCUGGUCGGCCGCCGAGCCUCUGUAAAGCACCUUCGACGAGUCGAGUAGUUUGGGAAUGCUGCUCAAAAUGGGAGGUAUAUGUCUUCUAAAGCUAAAUAUUGGCCAGAGACCGAUAGCGCACAAGUAGAGUGAUCGAAAGAUGAAAAGCACCUUGAAAAGGGGGUUAAACAGUACGUGAAAUUGUUGAAAGGGAAGCGCUCGCGACCAGACUUGGGCCUGGCGGAUCACCCAGCGUUCUCGCUGGGGCACUCCGCCUCGUCCCAGGCCAGCAUCGGUUCGUGCCGGGGGACAAAGGCGGCGGGAACGUGGCUCCCCCGGGAGUGUUAUAGCCCGCCGUGCAAUGCCCUGGGGCGGACCGAGGACUCGCGCAUCUGCAUGGAUGCUGGCGUAAUGGUCACUAGCGACCCGUCUUG
rnacentral:rRNA from 1 species